CCCUUAGACGUUCUGGGCCGCACGCGCGCUACACUGACGAAGGCAACGAGCUUUCCUUUACCGAAAGGUACGGGUAAUCUUUUGAAACUUCGUCGUGCUGGGGAUAGAUCCUUGCAAUUUUUGAUCUUAAACGAGGAAUGCCUAGUAAGCGCAAGUCAUCAACUUGCGUUGAUUACGUCCCUGCCCUUUGUACACACCGCCCGUCGCUACUACCGAUUGAAUGGUUUAGUGAGGCCUUCGGAUCCGCGACUCGUUUUGUGGAGAAGUUGGACAAACUCAGUCAUUUAGAGGAAGGUGAAGUCGUAACA
rnacentral:rRNA from 1 species